rnacentral:rRNA from 1 species
GACGAACGCUGGCGGCGUGCUUAACACAUGCAAGUCGAACGGUGACCUCGAGAGCUUGCUCUUGGGUGAUCAGUGGCGAACGGAUGAGUAACACGUGAGGAACCUGCCCCAGACUCUGGAAUAACCCCGGGAAACCGGAGCUAAUACCGGAUACGACAUCAGGCCGCAUGGUCAUGGUGUGGAAAGUUUUUCGGUCUGGGAUGGCCUCGCGGCCUAUCAGCUUGUUGGUGAGGUAGUGGCUCACCAAGGCGACGACGGGUAGCCGGCCUGAGAGGGCGACCGGCCACACUGGGACUGAGACACGGCCCAGACUCCUACGGGAGGCAGCAGUAGGGAAUUUUCCACAAUGGGCGAAAGCCUGAUGGAGCAACGCCGCGUGCAGGAUGAAUGCCUUCGGGUUGUAAACUGCUUUUAUCUGUGACGAUUAUGACGGUAGCAGAUGAAUAAGGAUCGGCUAACUCCGUGCCAGCCGCCGCAGUAAUAC